AUUUAAAUAGCUUAUAAAAGAGUAUAAUAUUGAAGAUAUUAGGGAAACAUAAUUGUUUUUAAAU
rnacentral:tRNA from 1 species